AACUCAAAUGAAUUGACGGGGCCCGCACAAGCGGAGGAACAUGUGGUUUUAAUUCGAUGAUACGCGAGGAACCUUACCUGGGCUUAAAGUGGGGAGUGACAGCUGUCGAAAGAUGGUUUUCUUCGGACACUCUUCAAGGUGCUGCAUGGUUGUCGUCAGCUCGUGCCGUGAGGUGUCGGGUUAAGUCCCAUAACGAGCGCAACCCUUACCGUUAGUUACCAUCAGGUUAAGCUGGGGACUCUAGCGGGACUGCCACCGUAAGGUGAGAGGAAGGUGGGGAUGACGUCAAAUCAGCACGGCCCUUAUGUCCAGGGCUACACACGUGUUACAAUGGCCGGUACAAAGGGCAGCUACUUCGCGAGAAGAUGCUAAUCUCGAAAGCCGGUCUCAGUUCGGAUCGAAGUCUGCAACCCGACUUCGUGAAGCUGGAUUCGCUAGUAAUCGCGCAUCAGCCAUGGCGCGGUGAAUACGUUCCCGGGCCUU
rnacentral:rRNA from 1 species